GACAAACGCUGGCGGCGUACCUAAGACAUGCAAGUCGAACGAGCUGUGAUCCUUCGGGGUGAUAGCGAGUGGCGGACGGGUGAGUAACGCGUAGGAACCUGACGCACAGUGGGGGAGUAACGCUGGGAACGUAGGCGCUAAGACCGCAUGUGGUCCGGAGACGGAAGAAAGACCAUUCACGAAAGUAGGGCGGUGCUGUGUGAGGGGCCGUGCGUCCGAUUAGCUAGUUGGUGGGUAAAGGCCGUACCAACGGCGACGAUCGGUAGCUGGUCUGAGAGGAUGAU
rnacentral:rRNA from 1 species